rnacentral:rRNA from 1 species
GUUUCACAAUUCUAUUGAACCAUGUAAGCUAUGAACUACAUACAUUAUCUGAGACAAUCUUUAGAUGAAGAGAAUAACCAAAAUAUUGUGUAUACCAUUACCAAGUAAGAAGAGAAGAUAGACCAGCAUUGAUUGUUACUAGUCAAUGUACAGAGCUAUAUAGCGAUAUACUUCUUCUGGUUGAUGCUUAUUAAAAUUUACUUGUUUUACACUCAUCUCCCCCAACUAACUUUCAGUGACCAGGUGCCAGUGAUCCAUGACGGCAACGACAUUGGUAAGAUCUCACUCUCACUUGGCCUCUCCCUCCCCUCCCUCUCUCUGUAUGUGCUGCAGUGUGCAGAUUUGAACUAGGUGGUAAGUUUAAUA